rnacentral:rRNA from 1 species
UUAAGCGACUAAGCGUACACGGUGGAUGCCCUGGCAGUCAGAGGCGAUGAAGGACGUGCUAAUCUGCGAUAAGCGUCGGUAAGGUGAUAUGAACCGUUAUAACCGGCGAUUUCCGAAUGGGGAAACCCAGUGUGUUUCGACACACUAUCAUUAACUGAAUCCAUAGGUUAAUGAGGCGAACCGGGGGAACUGAAACAUCUAAGUACCCCGAGGAAAAGAAAUCAACCGAGAUUCCCCCAGUAGCGGCGAGCGAACGGGGAGCAGCCCAGAGCCUGAAUCAGUGUGUGUGUUAGUGGAAGCGUCUGGAAAGGCGCGCGAUACAGGGUGACAGCCCCGUACACAAAAAUGCACAUAUUGUGAGCUCGAUGAGUAGGGCGGGACACGUGGUAUCCUGUCUGAAUAUGGGGGGACCAUCCUCCAAGGCUAAAUACUCCUGACUGACCGAUAGUGAACCAGUACCGUGAGGGAAAGGCGAAAAGAACCCCGGCGAGGGGAGUGAAAAAGAACCUGAAACCGUGUACGUACAAGCAGUGGGAGCCUCUUUUAUGGGGUGACUGCGUACCUUUUGUAUAAUGGGUCAGCGACUUAUAUUCUGUAGCAAGGUUAACCGAAUAGGGGAGCCGAAGGGAAACCGAGUCUUAACUGGGCGUUAAGUUGCAGGGUAUAGACCCGAAACCCGGUGAUCUAGCCAUGGGCAGGUUGAAGGUUGGGUAACACUAACUGGAGGACCGAACCGACUAAUGUUGAAAAAUUAGCGGAUGACUUGUGGCUGGGGGUGAAAGGCCAAUCAAACCGGGAGAUAGCUGGUUCUCCCCGAAAGCUAUUUAGGUAGCGCCUCGUGAAUUCAUCUCCGGGGGUAGAGCACUGUUUCGGCAAGGGGGUCAUCCCGACUUACCAACCCGAUGCAAACUGCGAAUACCGGAGAAUGUUAUCACGGGAGACACACGGCGGGUGCUAACGUCCGUCGUGAAGAGGGAAACAACCCAGACCGCCAGCUAAGGUCCCAAAGUUAUGGUUAAGUGGGAAACGAUGUGGGAAGGCCCAGACAGCCAGGAUGUUGGCUUAGAAGCAGCCAUCAUUUAAAGAAAGCGUAAUAGCUCACUGGUCGAGUCGGCCUGCGCGGAAGAUGUAACGGGGCUAAACCAUGCACCGAAGCUGCGGCAGCGACACUAUGUGUUGUUGGGUAGGGGAGCGUUCUGUAAGCCUGUGAAGGUGUACUGUGAGGUAUGCUGGAGGUAUCAGAAGUGCGAAUGCUGACAUAAGUAACGAUAAAGCGGGUGAAAAGCCCGCUCGCCGGAAGACCAAGGGUUCCUGUCCAACGUUAAUCGGGGCAGGGUGAGUCGACCCCUAAGGCGAGGCCGAAAGGCGUAGUCGAUGGGAAACAGGUUAAUAUUCCUGUACUUGGUGUUACUGCGAAGGGGGGACGGAGAAGGCUAUGUUGGCCGGGCGACGGUUGUCCCGGUUUAAGCGUGUAGGCUGGUUUUCCAGGCAAAUCCGGAAAAUCAAGGCUGAGGCGUGAUGACGAGGCACUACGGUGCUGAAGCAACAAAUGCCCUGCUUCCAGGAAAAGCCUCUAAGCAUCAGGUAACAUCAAAUCGUACCCCAAACCGACACAGGUGGUCAGGUAGAGAAUACCAAGGCGCUUGAGAGAACUCGGGUGAAGGAACUAGGCAAAAUGGUGCCGUAACUUCGGGAGAAGGCACGCUGAUAUGUAGGUGAAGUCCCUCGCGGAUGGAGCUGAAAUCAGUCGAAGAUACCAGCUGGCUGCAACUGUUUAUUAAAAACACAGCACUGUGCAAACACGAAAGUGGACGUAUACGGUGUGACGCCUGCCCGGUGCCGGAAGGUUAAUUGAUGGGGUUAGCGCAAGCGAAGCUCUUGAUCGAAGCCCCGGUAAACGGCGGCCGUAACUAUAACGGUCCUAAGGUAGCGAAAUUCCUUGUCGGGUAAGUUCCGACCUGCACGAAUGGCGUAAUGAUGGCCAGGCUGUCUCCACCCGAGACUCAGUGAAAUUGAACUCGCUGUGAAGAUGCAGUGUACCCGCGGCAAGACGGAAAGACCCCGUGAACCUUUACUAUAGCUUGACACUGAACAUUGAGCCUUGAUGUGUAGGAUAGGUGGGAGGCUUAGAAGUGUGGACGCCAGUCUGCAUGGAGCCGACCUUGAAAUACCACCCUUUAAUGUUUGAUGUUCUAACGUGGACCCGUGAUCCGGGUUGCGGACAGUGUCUGGUGGGUAGUUUGACUGGGGCGGUCUCCUCCUAAAGAGUAACGGAGGAGCACGAAGGUUGGCUAAUCCUGGUCGGACAUCAGGAGGUUAGUGCAAUGGCAUAAGCCAGCUUGACUGCGAGCGUGACGGCGCGAGCAGGUGCGAAAGCAGGUCAUAGUGAUCCGGUGGUUCUGAAUGGAAGGGCCAUCGCUCAACGGAUAAAAGGUACUCCGGGGAUAACAGGCUGAUACCGCCCAAGAGUUCAUAUCGACGGCGGUGUUUGGCACCUCGAUGUCGGCUCAUCACAUCCUGGGGCUGAAGUAGGUCCCAAGGGUAUGGCUGUUCGCCAUUUAAAGUGGUACGCGAGCUGGGUUUAGAACGUCGUGAGACAGUUCGGUCCCUAUCUGCCGUGGGCGCUGGAGAACUGAGGGGGGCUGCUCCUAGUACGAGAGGACCGGAGUGGACGCAUCACUGGUGUUCGGGUUGUCAUGCCAAUGGCACUGCCCGGUAGCUAAAUGCGGAAGAGAUAAGUGCUGAAAGCAUCUAAGCACGAAACUUGCCCCGAGAUGAGUUCUCCCUGACCCUUUAAGGGUCCUGAAGGAACGUUGAAGACGACGACGUUGAUAGGCCGGGUGUGUAAGCGCAGCGAUGCGUUGAGCUAACCGGUACUAAUGAACCGUGAGGCUUAACCUU